GGAGCGUCACUUCGGCACAGAAACUUCCGCUGUGAUCUCGCAGGAUUGCUGAGCGGCUCAUUGAUCACUCGGAGGAGACGCGCCGUCGGAUUAUUGGUCCUUUUUUUUCCUGGUUCUGAUUUGUUGCGGUUUUCUGUCAUCCUGCUCGGGCGCAGGAUGGAGCAGACGACCGCGGUCGGACUGCAGAACUUUGAGUCCUCAGGAUGUGAAGUCCAACAAGUUUCUGGUGAUUUUUGAUUUCCUUCAGAGGUCUGAUCCGCGCGCAGAGUUGAGCGGAUCCACCUGGCGUCAUGUUCUCCGAGCUGAGCGCCGUCAACCUGACGUCCAACCUGAGCGAACCGCUGUCGUCUCUGGAGCAGAACUGGAGCGACGCGCCGCACCAGCGGCUGUCGCGCACCGGACACCGCGUGGUGUCGGUGUUCCUGGGCUCCAUCAUGGUGUUCGGUUUCCUCAACAACCUGCUGGUUCUGAUUCUGUUCUGCCGCUUCAAGACUCUGCGGACCCCCGUCAACAUGCUGCUGCUCAACAUCAGCGUCAGCGACAUGUUGGUGUGCGUGUGCGGCACGACGCUCAGCUUCGCCUCCAGCCUGCGAACCCGCUGGCUGUACGGCCGACACGGCUGCAUGUGGUACGGCUUCGUCAACUCCUGCUUCGGCAUCGUGUCUCUGGUGUCUCUGGCCGUCCUGUCCUACGACCGCUACAGCACCCUGAUGGUGUACAACAAGCGGACCGCGGACUACAGGAGGCCCCUCCUGGCGGUGGGGGGGUCCUGGCUGUACUCUCUGGUGUGGACGCUGCCCCCCCUGCUGGGCUGGAGCAGUUAUGGUCUGGAGGGGGCUGGGACCAGCUGCUCCGUGACCUGGACUGAGAAAUCCUCCAGUUCUCACUCUUACAUCAUCUGUCUGUUUGUCUUCUGUCUCGGCCUCCCCGUCCUUGUCAUGGUCUACUGCUACGGCCGCCUGCUGUACGCCGUCAAACAGGUGGGUCAUGUGAGGCGGACGGCGGCUCGUCGCAGAGAGUUUCACAUCCUGUUCAUGGUGGUCACCACAGUGGUGUGUUACCUGCUCUGCUGGAUGCCGUAUGGCGUUGUCGCCAUGAUGGCCACCUUCGGCCGUCCGGGAGUCAUAACCCCCAUCGCCAGCGUCGUCCCAUCAAUCCUCGCCAAAAGCAGCACCGUCAUUAAUCCUGUCAUCUACAUCCUCAUGAACAAACAGUUCUACCGCUGCUUCCUGAUCCUGUUCCACUGUGAACACCAACUGACGGAAAACGGUCAGUCCUCCAUGCCCUCAAAGACUACCAUGCUCCAACUCAACCGCCGCGGCUGUGAUGGUGGCCCGGCCGCCGGCGGAUCCACCGCCGCCUCCAGACCGCUCACCGGGCCUGCUACGCCUGACAUAGAGGGUACCAGUGCCGCCUUGUCUGACAGAACUGAUGGUGCCCAGCCACCAGAGACCUCAUCCUGAAACCUCCACCAGAGACCUCAAACCACCAGGCUGCUGUCGUUGUUGUUGUGGUGCAGGGAAAAACUCUUGCUGGUUUGGAUUUGUUUAAACCACUCACAGUUGUUUUGGUAACCAGUAACGGGCUGAUUUUCACUGAUGAAACCAACCUGGUGCUCAGGCCCGAGAGCUGAAGCCUGCCAGUGAUUAAACUGAGCUAUUAGAUGUUGAACACGCUGGUAGAUUCACAGCUUUCAGUGUGUCGGUCACUCGCAGCUCGUCGUCGUUGUCUCAUGGAGCCAACAGGAGGCUCAGGAAGGCCUGCUUCCUGGGAGCGAGACAAACCUCCUCCUGAAGCCUCCUCCACUGGCCAAGUAACAGACCCGCCCCCACCUGUGUCAGGUGCUGCCUUGGUCCCGCCUCUUGGUGUCGCUGAUGUGUGUGUGUGUGUGUGAUGUCACUGUGUGUUGGUGCAGUGAGUGUUUCAUCCACUGACUGUCAAAUGAAGAUGGACGACCUGAGAACGAAGCCAAACACCAUCGUCAACGUCUUCAUCAGGUGUUUUUAUCGCUCUCACAAGCUGCUGUGUCAGCGCUGGACAAAGUCUGACUCAGCACAUUGUCAUUGUGACGCUGACUCGGCUGUGUUUCUUUAAACCAAUGAGGACGCGGGCGGUGGGAGGAGAAUCACAUGAUGGAAGACGUUUCAUAAAGAUCAGCUGUGAGUAUUUGUACUGUAGUAGUACUGCAGCUGGUACCUGUGAACCCUGACGAGGGUGGGUUCGGUUGGAUCUGGUCCUCAGUGUUGUCCUGGAUCAGGUCCCACAGACUCCAGAUGAACUCUGGAUGAAGGAUGUAAAACGGCUGC